GCUCCUGUCGUCUAGUCCGGUCAAGGAUUCGAGCUUCUCGAGCUUGAGACGCGGGUUCAAAUCCCGCCGGGAGCA
rnacentral:tRNA from 1 species